AUUGAACGCUGGCGGCAUGCCUUACACAUGCAAGUCGAACGGCAGCACGGGUGCUUGCACCUGGUGGCGAGUGGCGAACGGGUGAGUAAUACAUCGGAACGUACCAUCGUGGGGGAUAACGCAGCGAAAGCUGUGCUAAUACCGCAUACGCCCUGAGGGGGAAAGCGGGGGAUCGAAAGACCUCGCGCGAUUAGAGCGGCCGAUGCCUGAUUAGCUUGUUGGUGGGGUAAAAGCCCACCAAGGCGACGAUCAGUAGCUGGUCUGAGAGGACGAUCAGCCACACGGGGACUGAGACACGGCCCAGACUCCUACGGGAGGCAGCAGUGGGGAAUUUUGGACAAUGGGGGCAACCCUGAUCCAGCAAUGCCGCGUGAGUGAAGAAGGCCUUCGGGUUGUAAAGCUCUUUUGUCAGGGAAGAAACACCGGCUCUAACACAGUCCGGGAAUGACGGUACCUGAAGAAUAAGCACCGGCUAACUACGUGCCAGCAGCCGCCGUAA
rnacentral:rRNA from 1 species